rnacentral:rRNA from 1 species
CAGCCGCCGCGGGAAUACGUAGGGUGCGAGCGUUAAUCGGAAUUACUGGGCGUAAAGCGUGCGCAGGCGGUUUUGUAAGACAGGCAUGAAAUCCCCGGGCUCAACCUGGGAAUGGCGCUUGUGACUGCAAAGCUAGAGUGCGGCAGAGGGGGAUGGAAUUCCGCGUGUAGCAGUGAAAUGCGUAGAUAUGCGGAGGAACACCGAUGGCGAAGGCAAUCCCCUGGGCCUGCACUGACGCUCAUGCACGAAAGCGUGGGGAGCAAACAGGAUUAGAUACCCGAGUAGUCCCUGUCUCUUAUAC